UAACUGACAGUGUUGAACAAAGACUCUAAAGAAGCCCUGCAGCAUCCAACUGAGCAGCACAGCCAGGAAGGAGAGUCUGGCUCCUCUCUCCCUGCAAGAGGUCCCACUCACCACCUCCAAGGAGUCUUGCAGUGGCAUCAGUUAGAGCACAUGCAGUACAAAAUACUCCCUGCUUUCAACUGAGGGGAAUGUUCUUUAGAUGGACUGUUCUUAAAUGGCACCCUCUGUGGAGACUCUGUUCCUUUCUGUGGCUGGGGAUAGGAAUGGAUUACCAACAGACUGAGGACCUUCUGCCUCUGCAUGUACACAGGAGCUGAGAACUGUUCUACUUGUCGCAGGGAAGAGAAGGCUUGUGAGCAACACGUGUCAUGUGCUGGCCCCUUGUAGGAACUCAACAUCUUUAAACACCAUUAAUGGUUUAAACUGAUUUCAUUGCCAGGUGUGGCUAAUGCUGGUCCAACAGAUCAAAAGCUGGAAAAGGGGAGCUGAGGUAAACAGAAAGCAUCAUAUGAAACUGGGUUAAAAAUACAGAAAAAAAGAGAAUAAAAUUACUUAUAAUAAAGAGAAAUUGAUUACGAAUACAGUUGAGUCAGCUGGGUCUUCCACAUCUCCUGUCCCUUCCACAUCACCUCUGCAUCUUCUCCCAUUCAC